AGGACAAGGCGGAGCCAUGGUAAGAAGAAGGGAGGCAGAAGUAGAGCGUCUGAUAACAUAGCAGGCCAAGGUUAGGAGUUUUGUAUGGCCUACAGGGAUGGUGGGAAGACACACAGGCCAGGAGAUAAAACAGCAGGCUAGGCAGAGUUGAGAAAGGCUGAAACUGAUGAUUUGAAGAAUUGAGCAGAUCUGGAGUAUAUCCUACCUAUUAAGCACAAGAACAUAAGAACAGCCCUUCUGGAUUAGACCCAAGGCCCAUCUAGUCCAGUAUCCUGUUUGCCACAGUGGCCCACCAAAUGCCUCUGAGAAGCCCGCAGGCAAGAGAUGAGGUCAUGCCCACACUCUUGCUGUUGCUCCCCUGCAACAGACCUGUAAUAUGCUGAACUCGUUGAAAAGACUGAUGUCCUAUUCUAAUCCAGGCUACUGUGUUUAAUCAAGGAACAGGAUCUGAUAUACAGCACAGAACAUCC